rnacentral:rRNA from 1 species
GAGUUUGAUCUUGGCUCAGAUUGAAUGCUGGCGGCAUGCCUUACGCAUGCAAGUCGAACGGCAGCACGGGAGCUUGCUCCUGGUGGCGAGUGGCGAACGGGUGAGUAAUGCAUCGGAACGUAUCCUGGAGUGGGGAUAACGUAGCGAAAGUUACGCUAAUACCGCAUAUUCUGUGAGCAGGAAAGCGGGGGACCUUCGGGCCUCGCGCUCUUGGAGCGGCCGAUGUCGGAUUAGCUAGUUGGUGAGGUAAAGGCUCACCAAGGCGACGAUCCGUAGCAGGUCUGAGAGGAUGAUCUGCCACACUGGAACUGAGACACGGUCCAGACUCCUACGGGAGGCAGCAGUGGGGAAUUUUGGACAAUGGGGGCAACCCUGAUCCAGCCAUGCCGCGUGAGUGAAGAAGGCCUCGGUUGUAAG